CUUACUCAGACAAAAAAGGCUGUCAGCAGCAAGUCUAGGCAGAAGCCAGGAGGAGUUAGGAACAGACUAUAAGAAAUGGUUGGUCUGGAGGAAAAAGGGUAAAACUUAUGAGGGCCCUUGUGAAUUGAUGAAUAUGAAGACACUAAGAAAGCAGAAAUAGAACUGAGAAGAAUGAAAUAACUGUCUCUACCUUUCUCGAAUUGUCUAAUAUGGAAAGAAUGAAAGACAGCUAAUAAGCAACUCUCUGCAAGAAGACAUAUGGCUUAGGUUCUGCUGAGCUAUUGAAUCUACUUGGAGAGAGUCAAACACAGAAUCCCUUUGAAUUUAAUGGCCAUUCCAGGUGAUUUGAACAGCCAAAUAAGAAACAGGUCCUCUUCAAUGUACAAUCUGCCAAGUAUGAAGUCUGAAUGACCAUCAUUAUUAUGUAUUUAAUGUGCAUAGAAAAUCUAUCUGCAACCUUCCAGAGUGUACCAGAAGUUUGGAAUGUACAUUAUUAUUGGCUCCAUCUCAAACCACUCAUAAAUCAAAGAAAAUAGCAGUUCCAGAGGAAUCAUCAUAGAGGCUUCUAGGCCCCCAUGCUGUGUGAACCUGGUGAGAAAGGGAAGUCUGCUCUCACUGGACACUGGAACUGUUUGUCUCUGUCUCUGCUGUACUUUCCCUGCCUCUACCUCACUUAGUAAAGAAAUCAUCUUUGCUUGAUAACUAAAACAACCAAUAAGGCUGAGAAAGGGGAAAACCCACAUCUGGAUUUAAAUACAAGGUAUUGGGCCAGCUGCUGGGGAUUAAACUUUGAACAAAACAGAUAGAAUCUAUGUCCUCAUGGGAGUGGCUAAUGGGAGAGUCGGAACAAAAAAAUAGCCAAGGAUAAUCCAGCAAAUGAUUUGGUGAAUGCUAUCAAAGAGAGAAAUACACAUGCUCUGGGAACACCAAGUAGGUACCUAAUACCUAACCUGUACCUGGGGGGCUGGAAAGGGCUUCUUGGAAGAGGCAGAGACUAAAAUGAAGAAUAAGCAUAAGUUAAGACAAAGCUGGGGUGGGGUCAGAAAGAGUGUGAUAGGCCAACGCAGCAACAUGAGCCAAGACUCAAAAAUAAGAGACAGUGUGGCACAUUUGAUGUAGGAAAGACAUUUAGCUGGGAUAGAAAGAAGGCUAGUGUUGGGGCUGAAUGAGGUUGCAUAAAAGUUUGUAAGCCAAGUUAAGGAAUUGAUCAAAUUUAUAUUUUAGAAUGAUCACUCUGACCUCAGCAUUACAUGACCUGAAGGGGUUAAGCCCAUACAUCUGUAGAGAGACCCGUUAGAAUAGGACUGCAGUAAUAUGGUGAGAGACACUGGUGCCUAACUAGGCUGGUGAUCAUAGAGAUAAAGGGAUAUAUGGGAGAGGUAGAGCCGACAGCCAUUGAUAACUGGUGGUCGGCCAGGUCAAGGGGACAGUGUCUGCUUUAGGUAAUUGGCUUGAUGAUAAUCUCAUUUUCAAAGAUCAGGAACACAGGCCUGAGAGUACAUUUGGAGAGGAAGAUGAUUCGGGUUUGCAUCAUGUAGGGUUCGAGGUGUCUAUGGGACACUAUAUGCAGAAGUCCAGUAGGCAAUUGGUUCUGUGGGCCUAGCACUCAGAGGAGAGUGCGAGUCUAAUGACAGAAAAUUGGCAGUCACCAUCGUGUAGAUGGUAAUGGAUGGUAUGAUUUGGGGUGAUUGCUGAGGCAGGAACAUGGGCACAAUGCUGAGGAGUGCAAAUGGCUAAGGGAUGGGACACAGCAGGAACCUGCAAAGGAGCCCAGAAAACAAGAAAUAGGGAGAAAGCCUGGGAACACUGUGAUUCUACGGAAUCACAGAAUUGAAGACAAACAAUGUGAAACUAAGUACAGGCCCAUUUACUAACAUAUGUGUGUGUAUAUAUAUAUAUAUAUAUAUAUAUAUACACACACACACAUAUAUAUACUUAUAUAUAUAUACACACACAUAUAUAUACUUAUAUAUAUAUACACUUAUAUAUAUAUACUUAUAUAUACUUAUAUAUAUAUACACUUAUAUAUAUAUACUUAUAUAUACUUAUAUAUAUAUACACUUAUAUAUAUAUACUUAUAUAUACUUAUAUAUAUAUAUAUAAAAUUUAUUUAUUUAUUUUUAUUUUAUUUUAUUUAUUUAUUUUUGAGACAGAGUCUCCCUCUCUGACCCAGGCUGGAGUGCCGUGGUAUGAUCUCGGCUCACUGCAACUUCUGCCUCCCAGCUUCAAGCAAUUCUCCUGUCUUAGCUUCCCAAGUAGCUGGGAUUACAGGCGUGCACCACCACACCAGGCUAAUUUUGUAUUUUUAGUAGAGACGGGGUUUUGCCAUGUUGGCCAGGCUGGUCUCGAACCCCUGACCUCAGGUGAUCUGCCCACCUCAACCUCCCAAAGUGCUGGGAUUACAGGUGUGAGCCACUGCAUCUGGCCUCAUAUAUUUUACUAUAACAAAUCAGUGUAGGCCAAAUAAAGUUAGAAAUGGAAGCUAAUGGAAAUAAAGAAUAGGCUUUCCUGUUAGUAUCUAUAGGUGUGUGUGUGUGUGUUCGUUAUUUAGGGAAAGAAACAGGGAACUUGGGGCAUAUAAUAUUUAUGUUCCCUUAGCUUAGGCAUAUAUGGUAUAUUUAGUUACUUAAUUAAUUUUUUAUUUAGAAGUUAUGUAUAGAGCAUUUUUCCUAGGCCAGUGGGGGAUUAAACCAGAAAUAUAAGAAGUGUCUGCCUUCUGGAAGCUUGUGAUCUAGUUAGGGGUAUCACAAGUGCACAGCGUUCACCAGUGGCAGAGAAGCAUGUGAUGAGUACCCAGAGCUUAUAUUGAGAAUAAGGUAUACAAGAAUUUAGAGGAGGCCAAUGUUGAUUUUCACCAAGAGUAUGGGACAGAGAGACAAGACAGGGUUGGUCAUCUAGUUCUGUGCACUGAAUAUAAUUUUGCAGGUUUAGGAGUGUUUGAAAACUACAAGGAAGAUAGAAUCUUGGUCUUGUUCUCCAGCAUGCCCUUUCUUGAACUCACCAGGGUAAUGCUGCAUCUUUUCAGAAAUGCCUCUGGCUUCUCAAAGCAACUUUCAUCCUGGAGAGGAACAAUUAGUCUUUGUCUUUCAUUAGUAAAAGAUUUAACGGCUCAGAAGGAGAAGCUAGUGGUGACUUUUCAAUCACCCCUUCUACCUCCCAG
rnacentral:lncRNA from 1 species